CCGUUGAAAAGGGUGGGCAUGAGGUGUGGAUAGGGGAGAAAUUCCAAUCGAACCCGGAGAUAGCUGGUUCUCCUCGAAAUAGCUUUAGGGCUAGCCUCGUAUUAGUCUUGUGGAGGUAGAGCACUGAAUUUCCUAGGGGGCGUCAAAGCUUACCGAAGAAUAUCAAACUCCGAAUGCCAUGUAGAUGAUGUACGGGAGUCAGACUGCACGAGAUAAGUUGGGCAGUCAAAAGGGAAAGAGCCCAGACCGCCAGCUAAGGUCCCAAAGUGUGUGUUAAGUGGAAAAGGAUGUGGGAUUUCGAAGACAACUAGGAUGUUGGCUCAGAAGCAGCCAUACAUUAAAAGAGUGCGUAAUAGCUCACUAGUCGAGAGGUCCUGCGCCGAAAAUGUCCGGGGCUGAAACACAACACCGAAGCUGCGGAACCCGCAAGGGUUGGUAGAGGAGCAUUCUUAAAGGAACGAAGCAGUACCGAAAGGAGCUGUGGACUUUUAAGAAGAGAGAAUGCCGGAAUGAGUAGCGAGAGUAAGGUGAGAAUCCUUACGGCCGAAUAUCCAAGGUUUCCAGGGUAAAGCUGAUCUGCCCUGGGGAAGUCGGGACCUAAGGCGAGGCCGAGAGGCGUAGCCGAUGGACAACAGGUUGAGAUUCCUGUACUACAGUAUGACAGAACUGUGGGGACGCAGAAGGAGAGCACUACCUGGAAUGGAAUCCAGGGGCAAGCACAGGAGGGGUACGGCUGGAAAAACCGCCGUGCAACCCAAAGGUGUGACGCAUACCGAACUAAAGUAGGGAAAUGUGUGAGCCGGCUGCCGAGAAAAGCCGCUAUUGUUUGUACUGUACCCGUACCGUAAACCGACACAGGUGGAUGAGGAGAGAAUCCUAAGGCCGACGGAAGAAGCAUUGCUAAGGAACUCGGCAAAAUGACCCUGUAACUUCGGGAGAAAGGGUGCCUCGAAAGAGGCCGCAGAGAAUAGGCCCAAGCAACUGUUUAGCAAAAACACAGGUCUAUGCAAAACCGCAAGGUGAAGUAUAUGGGCUGACGCCUGCCCGGUGCUGGAAGGUUAAGGGGAGAUGUUAGGAGACGAAGCAUCGAACUUAAGCCCCAGUAAACGGCGGCCGUAACUAUAACGGUCCUAAGGUAGCGAAAUUCCUUGUCGGGUAAGUUCCGACCCGCACGAAAGGCGUAAUGAUUUGGGCGCUGUCUCGGCAAUGCAUCCGGUGAAAUUGAAGUGCCAGUGAAGAUGCUGGCUACCCGCGCCAGGACGGAAAGACCCCAUGGAGCUUUAGUCCAGCUUGAUACUGGGAUUCGGUAUUGUAUGUACAGGAUAGGUGGGAGGCUGAGAAAUGGUGACGCCAGUCGCCAUGGAGCCGCUGUUGGGAUACCACCCUUGCAGUACUGGAUUUCUAACCAGCAGCCGUGACCCGGCUGGGGG
rnacentral:rRNA from 1 species